UGCAUUCACUACUGUGAGUUGCUCUGGAUAAGAGUGUCUGCUAAAUGACUAAAA
rfam:Salmo salar isolate Sally breed double haploid chromosome ssa14, whole genome shotgun sequence.